CUUUAGUAAUUGCGAAUGAACAAGGAUAUGCUUAGCUUGACAAAUGGAGCUAUUGGCUUUGAAUUGUAUUGUGGAAAUGUAUUACCAACAGAGGUGCAGGUGCCAGCCUAUUGAAAUAAAGCGUCAAUGAGGGUGAGAAUCCUGUUUGUCAUGUGCAGCCCUUUGUGCACGGUGUAUAUUUGCUGAGUCACACUCCUUGGCAUUGGAAUGCAAAGUGGGUGGUAAGUUUCAUGUAAAGGUAAACAUGCAAUUGAGACUGAUAGCACACAAGUACCAUGAGGGAAAUAUGAAAAGGACUUUGAAAAGAGAAUUAAAUGAGUUUGUAUUUGCUGAACACAAAGUAAACAGACUUGAUUUGCUUGGUGGGAGUGUUGCACUUGCUUGACAAGAGCUUUGGGCUGUGGGUGUAAUGAUUCUUUCUUUGCAUGCCAGUUUCUAUUUGUACAUCUGAUUACCUUUGCACAUGAAUGAUAAGUCUCCUGUGGGGGGUGGAUUGCAUGUGCAUGUAAUGAUUUGUGUUUUGAUAAAUGUGUCUGGUGUAUGUGUGUGUUCCUGUGCUUGGGGAUGCUUCCUUCCUUGGACUUACAAGCCCUGACACACACAUGCUGGCAAAAUGCUUCUGCUUGACCCGUCUUGAAACACGGACCAAGGAGUCUAACAGAUGUGCAAAGUUUGAAGGUGGUAUACCUUUGUGUGCAAUGAAAGUGUCAGCUGGGAUAUGUGCACCAGCACCCAAUUAAUUAGCGGACAGAGGUUUGAGUUGGAGCAUAUCUAUUAGGACCCGAAAGAUGGUGAACUAUGCCUGAACAGAAUGAAUUCAGAGGAAACUCUGAUGGAGGUUCGUAUCGAUACUGACGUGCAAAUCGUUCGUCAUAUUUGGGUAUAGGGGCGAAAGACUAAUCGAACCAUCUAGUAGCUGGUUCCCUCCGAAGUUUCCCUCAGGAUAGCUGGAGUUGCUCAGUUUUAUCAGGUAAAGCGAAUGAUUAGAGGAAUUGGGGACAGGUUUGUCUUUGACCUAUUCUCAA
rnacentral:rRNA from 1 species